rnacentral:rRNA from 1 species
CCUGUGUGACUGCGUACCUUUUGUAUAAUGGGUCAGCGACUUAUAUUCUGUAGCAAGGUUAACCGAAUAGGGGAGCCGGAGGGAAACCGAGUCUUAAUUGGGCGUUAAGUUGCAGGGUAUAGACCCGAAACCCGGUGAUCUAGCCAUGGGCAGGUUGAAGGUUGGGUAACACUAACUGGAGGACCGAACCGACUAAUGUUGAAAAAUUAGCGGAUGACCUGUGGCUGGGGGUGAAAGGCCAAUCAAACCGGGAGAUAGCUGGUUCUCCCCGAAAGCUAUUUAGGUAGCGCCUCGUGAAUUCAUCUCCGGGGGUAGAGCACUGUUUCGGCUAGGGGGCCAUCCCGGCUUACCAACCCGAUGCAAACUGCGAAUACCGGAGAAUGUUAUCACGGGAGACACACGGCGGGUGCUAACGUCCGUCGUGAAGAGGGAAACAACCCAGACCGCCAGCUAAGGUCCCAAAGUCAUGGUUAAGUGGGAAACGAUGUGGGAAGGCCCAGACAGCCAGGAUGUUGGCUUAGAAGCAGCCAUCAUUUAAAGAAAGCGUAAUAGCUCACUGGUCGAGUCGGCCUGCGCGGAAGAUGUAACGGGGCUAAACCAUGCACCGAAGCUGCGGCAGCGAACGUAUCACUUAAAGCGAUUCAGCGGGUUACGAUUGACGGAGCGAAGCGACGUCAAAGCGUAUACAAAGUCGAGUCGGUUUAAGGAUACGUU